rnacentral:tRNA from 1 species
UGGGAGAUCAUCUAACGGCAGGAUAGCAGACUCUGAAUCUGUUCAUCUAGGUUCAAAUCCUAGUCUCCCAG